UAUUGAACACUGUAGCAAACUUAUGAAAUUCUUUCCGUAAAAUUACUAUAGUGCUACUUUAAUGGUACCUAAUUGUUCAUAUCAAAGAUCGUGAGUUUAUUCAUGCUCAAAUAAUAUGUCGAACCACACUAAAGAUACGCAAAAAUUUCGGGAUUCUUGGCUUCUGGAUCCAUAUUUAAAAGAUCGGCUUCAAAUACAACUACAAGUUAUUGAAAGUUCUUCGGGUCAAAUAGAUAUUUACAAAUUUGUCGAUUUUCAGUGUUGGGAUAAUUUUUGUUAGUGGAUUUCGGGUAGUUUCAAAGGUUAAAUCUGGUGGAGCGCUAGUAUUUGUUGGCAACACUGGUCGCGAGCCGCGGGCCGCGAGACGAGUCAAGGAAAGAGUAUUUAAGAAGUUUAGGUGAGUGAGGAAAACAGUCACAAUAUUAUCAGCUGAAAAGCCGUAAGAGAUGCUUGAUGCCGGGCACUCACACGAACAAUAAGCCGGGGCCGGCAGAUCAGAUCUCGGCCUGCAACGAGGAAUCUGCAGUUGAACUAGAGCUUCACCUCCAGAGGCAGCUGGAGGAUGAUAUUGCGAGAAUCUUUGAUGAAUCUAUUUACUCUGAUCUUGAAGUGGUGUGUGGGAAAUUAAAGAUACUAACUCAUUCUUGCAUUUUAAAAGCACGCACUGAUCAAUUUUAUCACCAACUACAUACAUUUUUGCAUGUGAACAUUGAGCGCAAUACUUUCGAUGAAAUAUAUUCUUUCAUAAGUGAUGUUUACACUGAAUGCAACAUUCAACAUGAAGAAAAAGAAAUAAUUAAGUUUCUUCAACGCAAUUGGAGUGCUUUAAAACCCGUGUCAGUGAAACCCAAUAAAAUAAAAGAAGAAGGCGAGGAAUCCGAAGUUUUCUCCACACCCAAGUGUAUUACCCCAUACGUAGACAGCGACACCCACAAAGCUAUUCAAUCUAGUCCUAGCACGGAAUUAACAAAAGAAUAUUAUGCACUAGUUCCAAUAGAAGGAAAUUUAUUUGAGAAGGAGCUUAUCGAGCAAGACGAGCUUUCUAAUGCCUUCCAUUCUAUAAUAAAAGGUCAAACAGAAGAUAAAAAUCAAGUUAAACAAAUACAGCUAAACAAACCUACUUCGCUACCCUUGAAUUCUAGUCAUACUUCCAAAACAGUUAAGCAUUCCAGUAGUAAUAACAUUUUAAAUAAUAUUUGUCUAAAAGAUAAAACCUCUCCGAAACCUGAACACAACCUAAGUACAGCGGCUGAUAAGGACUUCAAAAGUAAUCAGACAUUGCCGCUUUGUGAUACUGCAGGACGUAAUACUACUACUAAAACCAAGUCUAACUCAUUGGAUGCUGCAUAUUCCCCGGAUAGUUUAAUCACGGAUGAGCCCAGUUCUUCUUCUGAUUAUUUGUCUGCAGCAUACACUUUUUCUCCAGGUCUUACAACGUCUGGUUUCCAACAACAAGUAAAUGUUGAGAACAUCACAUCCAAGAUGGAGAAUAUUUAUACUUGGUCAGAUUCGGGACUGGAGGACCCUGCAAUGUUGGGUAGCGUCAAUAGUCAAAAGGACGUCACUUUAACAAAUAUGUCUUUAUCAGAGAGCACGGUUCAUGACUUAGUUGCUGACGAUGCAAGCAUCUCAGUGAUAUCUGUACACAGUUCUUUAGAAGAUCAGCUACAAAGAUCGAAGCAGAGCGGCACUUCUUUAGACCAAGAUUGUAAUGGUCAAGGUAGCCUUCCAGAGCUGAGUGGCAAGUCACUAAAAGAAGAAAAGCAGAGACAGAAUGAAGAAAUUGUCAUACUAGAAUCGUCCUCACUAUCCUCUGAAACGGGUUCCUGGGAGUCUGUGUACCCGCCUAAAUUAGUUCAAAAGGAAAUUUGCGAAAGGUUUUUACUCAAUGAACGCCAGAAUUAUUUUAACACUUCUGGUUUAGUCCAAAAAUCACCUUUCAAAUCUACAACUUGUUUUAUAGAUGCUUCUAGCUUAGUUGAUGAAGAUGAGUGUCUUGAAUUAGAAACCACUACUAUCGCAUCUUCCACAAAUAUUAAGUUAGAAAUUUUACCUACACCAAGUAAACCGGUACCCUGCUCGACUAUGAAGCCGGACAACAGUCCAGGUGAUUGGUCAGAAAGUAACGACAAUGAUGAUUCAUUAGAACAAAGUGAGAAAAAGGAUUCUGAUUCAAUAAUAAAAGAUUUAUCACCUGUUAUUUUUGAAAUGACCCCAAUUACAGAAGACUCAUUGUGCACAAAUGCAUUUGAAAAUGCAGCUCAAUCUGAUGAAGGUGCAGAUGUGGAAGCAAAUAGGAAAUAUUUAUCAGAUAAAGAGAAAUUGCGCAGUGCAGGGUACAUGCGAUGCUUUGCCACAAGCACACCAAACAACUCGAUAUUGUCAGUGAAGAAAUUUAAAGCGUACGAGUCAGAAGACAGUGAAAGUAACACUAUCAUCGAUUCUGACAGUUCUUCAAUGAAUGUCAGGAAAGGUAGUCGUUCUCCUCCAAUUCUAUCUGGCGGCGUGUCAGUAGAAGAUCAUUUACCUCAGGUAGGAAAUAAUCAAGAAGGUAAUCCAUUACUCAAAUCUAAGCAGAAUGAAACAAGUACCGUAACAGGAAAACAAAGUUCUUCUUCGGCUUGGGUAGUAGACAUGUCAAGUAAUCUGGAAACGGACGACGGUUCAUUGGUAGGUAAACUAUCCGAUGAAUCAGUUAACGAAAAAAAGAAUAUAUUUUCUAUGUACAUAGAUCUAGGUGAUAAUUCGACCUUGAAAGAUAUGCCUUCCAGACUAUCUGCUUCAAUGAAAAAGAAUACUGCAAAUGUCGAAAAUAAAUUGGCUCCGCAAAAAUCUAAAACUACAGAAAGAAACUCUAGAGACAAAGACUCCACAUUUGAGAAAUAUGAAGCUUUGUGUGAAGAUCCCAAUAUUAGUAUUUCUGAAAUAAUAGCGAUUCCAGGAAGAAAUGAAAACAUUGUAAAGGACAGCGAAGAUUCUUUCAUUGAACAGCCGCGGAAAGUAAACCAGCCUCAAGCACAGGAAGAAACCGAAAAAAUAACCUCCCCUAAAGAACUUUCUGCGAAUUCUCAAGACAGUAGCUUUGUGAAACUCUCAGACUUAGAUAAACCGGUGCAGAAAACAGAUAUGUUGGUCUCUAUCGAAACUAAAGGAGUCGAUGUACGGAUGACAAGAUCCAUUCCUGACUGGGGCGAACAAGGAUUUUCCACGAACUCAAGAUCGAUAGAAGUUAUUACUUCUUUUCAUUCAGAGAAUGCGCUCAGCUUGAACAGACUAUUUCCACACUUACAAAAUGAAUUUAGUAGGAGCAUGCCUGGUUGCCUAUCGAGUAGAACGCGGUCACCAUUAAGACUAGGCACAUCCAGCACCAUCGGUGAUGGCGAUGAGCAAGGGUCCGAUAUGUCGGAAAUAAGUAGUAUGCAGAGCAGCAACUGUCGCUCAGGGUUUGGGAACAGUACUACAGACAGUCAGACUUCCAAUUUAAUUGAGAACUGUACUUCGCGUCUUGGACAAGACUUACUCAGAAUGUUUCUUGAGGAAAUCGCGCCUGAUGUCAUUGUGGAAGUGUCAGGAAAACGAUUCAAGGCACACAAAUGUAUAUUGUCAUCCAGAUGUCAAUACUUUGCUGGUAUAUUGAGUGGCGGUUGGGUGGAAAGCUUGGGGAAUGUUAUCGUGCUCCCCCCGUUUUCAUACAAUGUGGUGUAUUUUGCAUUGUGUCACAUAUAUUCUGGUCUUGCAACAAUUCCGGAUUCGGUGAGCAUCGUUGAAUUGGCAACUAUCGCUGAUAUGUUGGGCUUAGAGGGUCUUAAGGAAGCCAUAAUGUUUACGUUAAAGGCUAAAUAUUGCCAUCAUUUCCAUAAGCCGUGCGCUGUGUGCAUAGUCGGUGUGUUGGAAUGCUUCCCAUUGUCUGCUGUUUAUGGUUUGGAUGAUUUAUAUCUCAAAUGUGUCAAAUGGAUUACGAAACACUUUACGAAAGUUUGGCCAACCAAGGCGUUCGCAACGCUGCCUACGGAUCUCUUAGAUAAGUGCUUCCAGCAUCACACUGUCAACCUAUCCGUGGACAAUGUGGUAGAGACUGUUUACGGCUGCGGCAUCACUACUGCGUCGUUACAAAACUCUAAAUGGGCUGAGUCCGUAGCACGGAUGUGCCGAAGGCUCAUAAGUGUAGCAGCGCACUUCGCGGGCCCAAGGCUCCUCGCUGUUUACCAAGCUAUCCCUCCAUUACCAAACGAAGCGCCACAGGCCGCCAAGCAAGCUCUCGAUGAUUUUCAUGCUGCUGCUAUCGAAUGGGCACCUCCGGACGAAGUCUGUCGUGCUUAUGGUUUUCUUUCUGCGCUCCUCAAAGAAAUGCGCAAUAGUCAGUACUCGAAACCUGAUUUGAUUAGUAACGGUACUGAAAACCGUAAAACUUUGGGCCAAUACACUAUACUGUACUCACAAGCGGGCAACUGGCGUAUGCAGUGUGAGGGCGCGCUAGUGCGAGCCUCGCCCAGAGUUGUCACUACACAGGCGUUUAAGGAGUUACCAUCGGAGUUACGUAAAAGGCUGCGAGAGCUCGGUUGUAUUAAAUACGGUGCGCAUGCGUUGCCUAUAUCCUCUCCUACGCAUCAGCAAGAGAGAAAAAUUAAAUCGACCACUGUUACGAAAACAAAGCCAUCCAGUUCAUCGCCUCGCAAUAUUGACAUAGCCCACGUGCGUGCUUUAUUUGUGCCUUAUUCGCCUAAACCGAUGUACCCAGUCGGAUCUGUGGACACUCUUAAGAGUAGCAACGAUGUCCGUGAUAGCAAGAAGUCGAUUGUGUCCACUAAUCCACCAAAGGUGAGGACGACGAAAGCACAAGAGGAGCGUGCCAAAUAUAAUAAAAUAAAGAACACUAAAUCACAAGACAAGUUAAAUACUAAAGCUAGCUCAGCGCGGGCUCCAUCCUUCGAGAAGACUAAGCCGAGGUAUUUAGAUAUUAAACAAAAAGAUAAGAAAACAUCAGUUGUGAACAAACACCUGCCAAAAAUUGAAUCGUCAAGUGAAUCGUCUCGUAACUCAAGCCCUAUACAUUUGAGAAACUUACGGUCGAGUCCCCAGAAGGGGCGGCGGGGGGAGAUGGUCCCGCAGACCAUGUCGCAGGACAGCCUGGCCACCAGCUCGCGGCCACGCACCGCGGAGCCGUCCACGGACUCGCUCAGCGAAUCACAAACGAGCAACAGAUAUGCUACCUACACGAAGACGAAGCACACCAAGGGCACAGUCGACUCGAGCAAAAUAUUUAAAAAUGUUGAACCGACAACUGCUAAUGUGGCGUCUAAUAAAACUAAAACGAAGAUACCGGUAUAUUUGAACAACACAUCAAUAUCCAAGGGGCUGGAAAAUCGGUCCUCCAGGAAUCAACCAAAGCCCAGUCCGAGGAGCAACAACAACAUGGUUCCCACUAGACCCCAGGAUCGUAAAGUGCCUGGUUCGUUGAUGAACGCAACGAAGUCAAGCUCCGCGAAGGUUGUGCCCAAGGUAGUGAAAGAGAAAGACCCACCGAAAACUAUUAUGUCCAGGAGUCAGAGAUAUGGACAGACGAGCCGACAUCAGCAUCAACACCAGCACGAGGAGAGGGGGGAGCCUUCUGUCAGAGACAUUCCCGUCAUGGAGCGCUCCGGCACAUUCUUAAAGGAUGAACCCACUUUCGGAGAUAAACUAACUAAUUUAGAUAUAUCUCAAUGAACGCCUAUAACGUAGUAAAUUAGCUACCAGCUGACUAGAGAAAUCUAUUUCAUAAAACUUCCAAAACUACGUUUUAUUCAUAAAUAAUCAGCAAGGUCACUUCACAUGAAUGCUUUAUCAACUUAUUUCUGUGACGAAUAGGUAGAUGAAAUAUUCUGUAGCUACAAUAGGUUUGCAACUUUUUAUGAAUAAGAUAGUAUUUGUAGUGGUAUUUAUUUCAAACUCCAGCUUCUUAUACUUUUCGUCGAGCUUUAAAUAUAAAAUCGUUGUAGGUGCAAUUGAGGUAUAAUGUAUAUAACAAUUUUAAAUAGUAAUUUGUAUCUCUGUACGUCAUCCUCAAACUUGAGAACAUCGACGGAAAAUCAUUUUUCAUCUGUUAUUGGGUAGCAAUUCGGAAAUUUAAACAAAUAUAAAUUUGAUUAACAUUGCAUGUUUAUAAAUAAAUGGACACAUGAUAUGGAGACUGAUAUUACAAGAAAAAAAUUAAGGUUUUAAUGAAAAACAUUACAAAGGAUAAAUUGAUGUUCAGUAAAUUCUCCAAUAAGUAGGUACUGUAGAGAUUAAUUAUAUAAGUAACGUCUGAGAGUAAGACAAAGAGAAGAAAGAAUCUAUACUUCAGCAACAGACUGCUCUCCUUAUUUAUAAAUUGUAAAAGAGCUGCCAAGUUCAGCAAAGAAAUUAAGCGAAAUUGUCAGUCUUCGUCAUGCGUCCAGUCGGCUUAUCCAAUAUAAUAUAUACAAAAUAGAACUAGGACAUGUUUCGUGUAGGUACUCAAGCUUUUCAUGUAUUGUGGUGAUGGUGUAUUAUUUUUUUAUUAGUAACUAGCGACCCGCCCCGGCUUCGCACGGGUGCAAUAUGCAUGUAUUAUACAU